GAUGAACGCUGGCGGCGUGCUUAACACAUGCAAGUCGAACGGGAAUUAUUUUAUUGACACUUCGGUCGAUUUCAUUUAAUUCUAGUGGCGGACGGGUGAGUAACGCGUGGGUAACCUGCCUUAUACAGGGGGAUAACAGUCAGAAAUGGCUGCUAAUACCGCAUAAGCGCACAGAGCUGCAUGGCUCAGUGUGAAAAACUCCGGUGGUAUAAGAUGGACCCGCGUUGGAUUAGCUGGUUGGUGGGGUAACGGCCCACCAAGGCGACGAUCCAUAGCCGGCCUGAGAGGGUGAACGGCCACAGUGGGACUGAGACACGGCCCAGACUCCUACGGGAGGCAGCAGUGGGGAAUAUUGCACAAUGGGGGAAACCCUGAUGCAGCGACGCCGCGUGAAGGAAGAAGUAUCUCGGUAUGUAAACUUCUAUCAGCAGGGAAGAUAGUGACGGUACCUGACGAAGAAGCCCCGGCUAACUACGUG
rnacentral:rRNA from 1 species